CCACCUGGGCGAGAGACAUGGCCACGCAGGAGGAGACGGAGAGAGAGAGAGAGAGGGAGGGAGAGUAAGAGUGAGAGAUGGAGAAAGGGAGAGAGAGGGUAUGAAAGAGUGAGACAGUGACUGAGUGCAAGAGAUAUUGCCGAAGAGAAUUGAUUGGAGUUUCAAUUCUUCUUUAAUAUGUUUGUCAUUACAGGCUCUUGCAACCCGUUCUUUGUGGACCAUCAACUGACAGCUGCCAAGUCCCUCAAAGGUAACUUUGUUUUUAUUGGUCGGAAGUUAAACACUGUAAAUGCCUCUUCCAUUAGAUAGCAGAUAUGAAAGAUGUCUGACACAUAUUGAUGAUGUAUGGACAGUUGGCCUAUUACUAUGUGUGCACCUCUGGAUGUUGAUAUAUUGACAGUAUUUAUGAAGUUAAUGAUUAUGUUGGUAUGUAUGUAUGUAUGGUCUGUGGGCAGUGAAUAAUGAAGAUGGGAGCCGAUCGUUGAUAUGAAUUAUUAAGUGCGUCUGUGUGUGUGUGUCUGUGGUCCCCGUACCGCCUGCAUGUUGAAGAUGGUGGUCUGGGAGAUGAUCAUGGGCCAGUAGCGGGUGUAGCGCUCCAGCUGGGCCUUGGCCCGGUCGGCGGGGAGCCGCCCCCCGGGGUUGGCCGCCGUCUCUGCGACCGGAGUCAGCCGGUUCUCCCUCAUGAACUCCCCAAAGUCCUGAGGAGUCAUCCCUUCAUGAUCAACCAACGGCUGGUAACGGCUAAUCACACUCACACCCGGUGGUCUAAUGCGUCACCUUUAACCUAUUCUUUGUAUACAACAGAGGUAGCCGGGAUAAGACAGUCUGGACGAUGUGUUGACUCUUUGGUGAGAGAGCGAGGGACUCACUGAUGUAGGGCUGUGCGAUUGACCGAAUUUUAUAAAGUAUAUUUAAUUUAUUCAUUAAAUGUCUUAUAGAAAUUGCACAGAAAUUGAACAGCUGGAUACGAUUUGUACAUUAUUUUCGAUCUGAACAUUUUCUAUUUUCAAAUAGUUUUUUUUGGAGAGAAA